rnacentral:rRNA from 1 species
CAGUGGGGAAUAUUGGGCAAUGGGGGAAACCCUGACCCAGCAACGCCGCGUGAAGGAAGAAGGCCUUCGGGUUGUAAACUUCUUUUAGCAGGGACGAAGAACGUGACGGUAACUGAGGAGGAAGCCNACGGCUAACUACGUG